rnacentral:lncRNA from 1 species
AACCCAAGAUCAGGAGAUGGCCUCAGACCUCACAAGGCACUGGAAGAGGUCAAAAAGCAAGGCCCUCCCUCAUUCCCUCUGGGGCCACAGGGUCCCCCAUCUCCGCUUCCCACUGCACAUCUGUGCUUCAUCUGGGAGACCUGAUACCCAUGCUUUUCCACACACCUGGCCUGCUCCUGAGUGUGCAGAGUGUCAGUUCCAGCCAGUUCCCCAGGCUAAUGGACAGGCCUCCGUUCCAAAUUCCCAGGAAAGAGAAUCACCAUUGGCCACAGCCACAAGACCA